AGUGAAUCAUCGAAUCUUUGAACGCACAUUGCGCCCUUUGGUAUUCCGGAGGGCAUGCCUGUUCGAGCGUCAUUACAACCCUCAAGCUCUGCUUGGUGUUGAGUGUCACCUCGCGUGGUGCACCUAAAAUUCAGUGGCAGCGGCCAUCGGCCCCAAGCGUAGUAAUCGUCUCGCUUGUGAGGUUUGGGGUAUGCUUGCCAGCAAGCCCUAAUUUAUCAAUGGUUGACCUCGGAUCAGGUAGGGAUACCCGCUGAACUUAA
rnacentral:misc_RNA from 1 species